GGUUAAGCGACUAAGCGUACACGGUGGAUGCCCUGGCAGUCAGAGGCGAUGAAGGACGUGCUAAUCUGCGAAAAGCGUCGGUAAGGUGAUAUGAACCGUUAUAACCGGCGAUGUCCGAAUGGGGAAACCCAGUGUGAUUCGUCACACUAUCGUUAACUGAAUACAUAGGUUAACGAGGCGAACCGGGGGAACUGAAACAUCUAAGUACCCCGAGGAAAAGAAAUCAACCGAGAUUCCCCCAGUAGCGGCGAGCGAACGGGGAGCAGCCCAGAGUCUGAAUCAGCUUGUGUGUUAGUGGAACGGUCUGGAAAGUCCGACGGUACAGGGUGAUAGUCCCGUACACCAAAAUGCACAGGCUGUGAACUCGAAGAGUAGGGCGGGACACGUGGUAUCCUGUCUGAAUAUGGGGGGACCAUCCUCCAAGGCUAAAUACUCCUGACUGACCGAUAGUGAACCAGUACCGUGAGGGAAAGGCGAAAAGAACCCCGGCGAGGGGAGUGAAAAAGAACCUGAAACCGUGUACGUACAAGCAGUGGGAGCACCUUCGGGUGUGACUGCGUACCUUUUGUAUAAUGGGUCAGCGACUUAUAUUCUGUAGCAAGGUUAACCGUAUAGGGGAGCCGCAGGGAAACCGAGUCUUAACUGGGCGUUAAGUUGCAGGGUAUAGACCCGAAACCCGGUGAUCUAGCCAUGGGCAGGUUGAAGGUUGGGUAACACUAACUGGAGGACCGAACCGACUAAUGUUGAAAAAUUAGCGGAUGACUUGUGGCUGGGGGUGAAAGGCCAAUCAAACCGGGAGAUAGCUGGUUCUCCCCGAAAGCUAUUUAGGUAGCGCCUCGUGAAUUCAUCUUCGGGGGUAGAGCACUGUUUCGGCUAGGGGGUCAUCCCGACUUACCAACCCGAUGCAAACUACGAAUACCGAAGAAUGUUAUCACGGGAGACACACGGCGGGUGCUAACGUCCGUCGUGAAGAGGGAAACAACCCAGACCGCCAGCUAAGGUCCCAAAGUCAUGGUUAAGUGGGAAACGAUGUGGGAAGGCACAGACAGCCAGGAUGUUGGCUUAGAAGCAGCCAUCAUUUAAAGAAAGCGUAAUAGCUCACUGGUCGAGUCGGCCUGCGCGGAAGAUGUAACGGGGCUAAACCAUGCACCGAAGCUGCGGCAGCGACACUAUGUGUUGUUGGGUAGGGGAGCGUUCUGUAAGCCUGCGAAGGUGUGCUGUGAGGCAUGCUGGAGGUAUCAGAAGUGCGAAUGCUGACAUAAGUAACGAUAAAGCGGGUGAAAAGCCCGCUCGCCGGAAGACCAAGGGUUCCUGUCCAACGUUAAUCGGGGCAGGGUGAGUCGACCCCUAAGGCGAGGCCGAAAGGCGUAGUCGAUGGGAAACAGGUUAAUAUUCCUGUACUUGGUGUUACUGCGAAGGGGGGACGGAGAAGGCUAUGUUAGCCGGGCGACGGUUGUCCCGGUUUAAGCAUGUAGGCUGGUUGUCCAGGCAAAUCCGGAUAAUCAAGGCUGAGGUGUGAUGACGAGGCACUACGGUGCUGAAGUAACAAAUGCCCUGCUUCCAGGAAAAGCCUCUAAGCAUCAGGUAACAUCAAAUCGUACCCCAAACCGACACAGGUGGUCAGGUAGAGAAUACCAAGGCGCUUGAGAGAACUCGGGUGAAGGAACUAGGCAAAAUGGUGCCGUAACUUCGGGAGAAGGCACGCUGGUGUGUAGGUGAAGUCCCUGCGGAUGGAGCUGAGACCAGUCGAAGAUACCAGCUGGCUGCAACUGUUUAUUAAAAACACAGCACUGUGCAAACACGAAAGUGGACGUAUACGGUGUGACGCCUGCCCGGUGCCGGAAGGUUAAUUGAUGGGGUUAUCCGUAAGGAGAAGCUCUUGAUCGAAGCCCCGGUAAACGGCGGCCGUAACUAUAACGGUCCUAAGGUAGCGAAAUUCCUUGUCGGGUAAGUUCCGACCUGCACGAAUGGCGUAAUGAUGGCCAGGCUGUCUCCACCCGAGACUCAGUGAAAUUGAACUCGCUGUGAAGAUGCAGUGUACCCGCGGCAAGACGGAAAGACCCCGUGAACCUUUACUAUAGCUUGACACUGAACAUUGAGCCUUGAUGUGUAGGAUAGGUGGGAGGCUUUGAAGCGUGGACGCCAGUCUGCGUGGAGCCAACCUUGAAAUACCACCCUUUAAUGUUUGAUGUUCUAACGUUGGCCCCUGACCGGGGUUGCGGACAGUGUCUGGUGGGUAGUUUGACUGGGGCGGUCUCCUCCCAAAGCGUAACGGAGGAGCACGAAGGUUAGCUAAUCCUGGUCGGACAUCAGGAGGUUAGUGCAAUGGCAUAAGCUAGCUUGACUGCGAGCGUGACGGCGCGAGCAGGUGCGAAAGCAGGUCAUAGUGAUCCGGUGGUUCUGAAUGGAAGGGCCAUCGCUCAACGGAUAAAAGGUACUCCGGGGAUAACAGGCUGAUACCGCCCAAGAGUUCAUAUCGACGGCGGUGUUUGGCACCUCGAUGUCGGCUCAUCACAUCCUGGGGCUGAAGUAGGUCCCAAGGGUAUGGCUGUUCGCCAUUUAAAGUGGUACGCGAGCUGGGUUUAGAACGUCGUGAGACAGUUCGGUCCCUAUCUGCCGUGGGCGCUGGAGAAUUGAGGGGGGCUGCUCCUAGUACGAGAGGACCGGAGUGGACGCAUCACUGGUGUUCGGGUUGUCAUGCCAAUGGCACUGCCCGGUAGCUAAAUGCGGAAGAGAUAAGUGCUGAAAGCAUCUAAGCACGAAACUUGCCCCGAGAUGAGUUCUCCCUGAGACUUUAAGUCUCCUGAAGGAACGUUAAAGACGAUGACGUUGAUAGGCCGGGUGUGUAAGCGCAGCGAUGCGUUGAGCUAACCGGUACUAAUGAACCGUGAGGCUUAACCUU
rnacentral:rRNA from 1 species